ensembl:snRNA U4 U4 spliceosomal RNA
AGCUCUGCAACAGUGGGAGUAUGGCAGCCAGUGAGGUUUAUCACAGGUGCAAUUAUUGCUAAUUGAAAACGUCUGCAAAUACUCCACCAUGAUAACUUGAAACAUAGUCAGUUGGCAAUUUUGACAGUCUCUAGUGA